rnacentral:rRNA from 1 species
AAACUUUCAACAACGGAUCUCUUGGUUCUGGCAUCGAUGAAGAACGCAGCGAAAUGCGAUAAGUAAUGUGAAUUGCAGAAUUCAGUGAAUCAUCGAAUCUUUGAACGCACAUUGCGCCCCCUGGUAUUCCGGGGGGCAUGCCUGUCCGAGCGUCAUUACAACCCUCAAGCUUAGCUU